rnacentral:rRNA from 1 species
GCGAACGGGUGAGUAAUGCAUCGGAACGUGCCCAGUCGUGGGGGAUAACUGCUCGAAAGAGCAGCUAAUACCGCAUACGACCUGAGGGUGAAAGCGGGGGACCGUAAGGCCUCGCGCGAUUGGAGCGGCCGAUGUCAGAUUAGCUAGUUGGUGGGGUAAAGGCCUACCAAGGCAACGAUCUGUAGUUGGUCUGAGAGGACGACCAGCCACACUGGGACUGAGACACGGCCCAGACUCCUACGGGAGGCAGCAGUGGGGAAUUUUGGACAAUGGGCGCAAGCCUGAUCCAGCAAUGCCGCGUGCAGGAAGAAGGCCUUCGGGUUGUAAACUGCUUUUGUCAGGGAAGAAAUCUUCUGGGCUAAUACCCCGGGAGGAUGACGGUACCUGAAGAAUAAGCACCGGCUAACUACGUGCCAGCAGCCGCGGUAAUACGUAGGGUG